GUCAAUGACCCCACCGCGUGCCCGCUUCCCGGCCACGGCAACAACCCGAUUACCGCCGGCUCACCCGACGU
rnacentral:sRNA from 1 species